rnacentral:rRNA from 1 species
UACAGAGGUCUCAAGCGUUGUUCGGAUUCAUUGGGCGUAAAGGGUGCGCAGGCGGCGGUUCGCGUGGCGAGAUGAAAUCUCCUGGCUUACCUGGGAGGGUGGUCGCCAGACGGGAUCGCUUGAGGGUCGGAGAGGGGCGUGGAAUUCCGGGUGGAGCGGUGAAAUGCGUAGAGAUCCGGAGGAACACCGACGGCGUAGGCAGCGCCCUGGACGACACCUGACGCUGAGGCGCGAAAGCCAGGAGAGCAAACGGG